rnacentral:lncRNA from 1 species
GAAUACGAUACUUGGUCUUACCAUUUUAUAUUACUUGGUACACUUGUCGAUUUGCCCCAACAAGUUUUUGGCGCCGUUGUUGGGGACUCAGGGUUUAAGCUAGUCUAUUUGUGUGAAUCUUGAUUAAUUUUGGCUUUAUUUUAUUUUAUUUUAUUUUUUCCAUUUUUAUUUUUCAAAUCCCUAAUUUCCAUUUUUGUUUUACUUUUGUUUUAACAAUCUCUCUCUA